GAUGAACGCUGGCGGCGUGCCUAAUACAUGCAAGUCGAGCGAACAGACGAGGAGCUUGCUCCUCUGACGUUAGCAGCGGACGGGUGAGUAACACGUGGAUAACCUACCUAUAAGACUGGGAUAACUUCGGGAAACCGGGGCUAAUACCGGAUAAUAUAUUGAACCGCAUGGUUCAAUAGUGAAAGACGGUUUUGCUGUCACUUAUAGAUGGAUCCGCGCCGCAUUAGCUAGUUGGUAAGGUAACGGCUUACCAAGGCAACGAUGCGUAGCCGACCUGAGAGGGUGAUCGGCCACACUGGAACUGAGACACGGUCCAGACUCCUACGGGAGGCAGCAGUAGGGAAUCUUCCGCAAUGGGCGAAAGCCUGACGGAGCAACGCCGCGUGAGUGAUGAAGGUCUUCGGAUCGUAAAACUCUGUUAUUAGGGAAGAACAAAUGUGUAAGUAACUAUGCACGUCUUGACGGUACCUAAUCAGAAAGCCACGGCUAACUACGUG
rnacentral:rRNA from 1 species